UAGGGAAUUUUGCGCAAUGGGGGAAACCCUGACGCAGCAACGCCGCGUGUGUGACGAAGCCCUUCGGGGUGUAAAGCACUGUCAGUGGGGACGAAUUUUGACGGUACCCACAGAGGAAGCACCGGCUAACUCCGUGCCAGCAGCCGCGGUAAUACGGAGGGUGCAAGCGUUGUCCGGAAUCAUUGGGCGUAAAGCGUUCGUAGGCGGCAUGUCAAGUCUGGUGUUAAAGCCCGGGGCUCAACUCCGGUUCGGCACUGGAUACUGGCAAGCUAGAAUGAGGUAGAGGUAAUGGGAAUUCCUGGUGUAGCGGUGAAAUGCGUAGAUAUCAGGAGGAACACCGGUGGCGUAAGCGCAUUACUGGGCCUUUAUUGACGCUGAGGAACGAAAGCCGGGGGAGCAAAUG
rnacentral:rRNA from 1 species